AACGCGUAUACAAUCUACCCCCUACUGUGGGAUAGCCCAGAGAAAUUUGGAUUAAGACCACAUGGUACCAUUUUACGGCAUCGUAUUAAUGGUUAAAGGUUACGGUAGGGGAUGAGUAUGCGUCCCAUUAGUUAGUUGGCGAGGUAACGGCUCACCAAGACCGCGAUGGGUAGGGGCCCUGAGAGGGGGAUCCCCCACACUGGUACUGAGACACGGACCAGACUCCUACGGGAGGCAGCAGUGAGGAAUAUUGGACAAUGGGCGGGAGCCUGAUCCAGCCAUGCCGCGUGCAGGAAGAAUGCCCUAUGGGUAGUAAACUGCUUUUAUACGGGAAGAAAAAGAGCUACGUGUAGCUUACUGACGGUACCGUAAGAAUAAGGACCGGCUAACUCCGUGCCAGCAGCCGCGGUAAUACGGAGGGUCCGAGCGUUAUCCGGAAUUAUUGGGUUUAAAGGGUCCGUAGGCGGGCCGAUAAGUCAGUGGUGAAAGUUUGCAGCUCAACUGUAAAAUUGCCUUUGAUACUGUCGGUCUUGAGUUAUAGUGAAGUUGCCGGAAUAUGUAGUGUAGCGGUGAAAUGCAUAGAUAUUACAUAGAACACCGAUUGCGAAGGCAGGUGACUAACUAUAUACUGACGCUGAUGGACGAAAGCGUGGGGAGCGAACAGGAUUAGAUACCCUGGUAGUCCACGCCGUAAACGAUGGAUACUAGCUGUCCGGGUCCUUGAGACCUGGGCGGCCAAGCGAAAGUGAUAAGUAUCCCACCUGGGGAGUACGUUCGCAAGAAUGAAACUCA
rnacentral:rRNA from 1 species